UAAUCUAAAGAUUAUUAUUGAUAAGUUGUUUAGGUUUAUUUGCCUUUUGCAUCAUGCUUAAUAGAUUGUUGCAUUGUAUUAAUGGAUAUCGAAAAGUUUAGAUCUUAAAAUUAAUUGUUAGGAAUAUUAUUUGACUUGGGUAAAGUUAAUUAAAUUAAUUUUAUGAGGUGAUAAAUAAUUCGUUAAACUUUAUAUCUAUUUAGUUGUCAUGAGUUUUGUAUUACAUAAUAGGUUAAAAGAUUUAUUAUGGGGUUAUAUUGUAUAAUGUUAUUGUUAUAAGAUUAGGUUAAAAGUACCUAUUUUUUAUAAGUUUGUUAUAAAAUUAGUUAAUUGGAUUUAUAAUUAAUGGUAAUGACAACUUUAUGUAAAAAUUUAGAUUGUAUUUAUUAUUAAAUAAGUAAUUAUAAUAUGUUAAUUAUUUCUAAAUAUCUCUCCGUCUGUUUAUUAAAAACAUUUCUAACUUGAAUUAUAGUUAGUAGUGCCUGCCCAGUGUUGUUAAAUAAACGGCCGCAGUAUAUUGACUGUGCAAAGGUAGCAUAAUUAAUUGCCCUUUAAUUGGGGGCUUGUUUGAAUGGUUUGACGUGAGAGUUAUGAAUAUUUAAUAUUUAUGUGAAAUUGAUUAUAAGGGUUCAGAAUCCUUAUAUUUUAAUAAGACGGAAAGACCCUAGGAUCUUUUGUUUUUGUUUGGGGCAAACGUUAUUUUUUUAAUAAUAUUAUGACCCUGAUUUACUAGAAUAAUUGGUUAAGUUACCCUAGGGAUAACAGUGUAAUAAUUAAUAAGAGAUCUUAUCGAAUUAAUUGUUUGCCACCUCGAUGUUGACUUAGAUUUAUAUUUAGGUGCAGUAACUUAAAUAUGUGGUCUGUUCGACCAGUUAUUAUCUCCAUGAGUUGAGUUAAGACCGGCGUAAGCCAGGUCGGUUCUUAUCUAUUGGGGCAGUUUAUCAGUACGAAAGGACAGUAAGCUUUUUUAGUU
rnacentral:rRNA from 1 species